rnacentral:rRNA from 1 species
UACAGAGGUGGCAAGCGUUGUUCGGAAUUACUGGGCGUAAAGGGCGCGUAGGCGGUUCGUUAAGUCCUGUGUGAAAGCCCCCGGCUCAACUGGGGAGGGUCAUUCGAUACUGUUCGACUCGAAGGCAGGAGAGGGAAGUGGAAUUCCCGGUGUAGUGGUGAAAUGCGUAGAUAUCGGGAGGAACACCAGUGGCGAAGGCGACUGCCUGGCCUGUUCUUGACGCUGAGGCGCGAAAGCUAGGGGAGCAAACGGG